AGCGAACGCUGGCGGCAGGCCUAACACAUGCAAGUCGAACGAACACUUCGGAGUUAGUGGCGGACGGGUGAGUAACACGUGGGAACGUGCCCUUUGGUUCGGAAUAACUCAGGGAAACUUGUGCUAAUACCGAAUGUGCUCUUCGGGGGAAAGAUUUAUCGCCAUUAGAGCGGCCCGCGUCUGAUUAGCUAGUUGGUGAGGUAACGGCUCACCAAGGCGACGAUCAGUAGCUGGUCUGAGAGGAUGACCAGCCACACUGGGACUGAGACACGGCCCAGACUCCUACGGGAGGGAGCAGUGGGGAAUCUUGCGCAAUGGGCGAAAGCCUGACGCAGCCAUGCCGCGUGAAUGAUGAAGGUCUUAGGAUUGUAAAAUUCUUUCACCGGGGACGAUAAUGACGGUACCCGGAGAAGAAGCCCCGGCUAACUUCGUG
rnacentral:rRNA from 1 species